CGUGACAUUCUUGUCAAAAAUGUUUUUAUAAUAUUUGGUUUAACCGUUUUUAUUGUACAUUAUUAGUGAUUCGAAAAUUAUUAGUCACCAUUACUAAUAAUGGAAUCUGAAAAUAGUUCAGGUGUGAAACACAUUCUGAAUCGGCUAAGUCAGUUAGAAGAAGAAUUAAAAGAAAUACAAAAAUGUGUGAAUAUGGAAAACAAUCAACAAAAAAUACCGAAUGAAACCGAAAUAGAGAAGAAUAAAGGGCUAGAAAACGCUUAAACAAACUUAGAUUACGAUGAAAUAUGAAAAUUUUUCAAAAUAAAUUCUUUUAUAUCUAA